CCAUUAUAACCUUAAUAAUAAAAUUAUAAAACCAUAUAUAACAUGCCCAUUACCGUCCACCCUUUUUUCAAAUGGGAUAAUUGCAACAUAAAGGUUUCCAUUUAAAAAGCCACUAACAAUUCGGCCCUUAUGCUUUUAACUAUCAAGUUUUUAAUUUACGCGAUUAAGUCAUUUUAUUUAAUCAGACACUAAAACGAUAAAAUUAAAUCACGAAAAUUUCACAGAUAUAAAUUCACACAAAAUAAACACAGAAAAUACUUUUUAAAUAUUUUUCUGACUCAGAUUCGUG
rnacentral:lncRNA from 1 species